GUUUGUGUGAGGAGUGCGGAACGACCGCUCCGGGUCGAAACGAGGACAGACUCCGGAGCAGCGUUCCAAA
rnacentral:sRNA from 1 species